AAGAGGAAGAUACCGAUGAUAGUGCUCAAGUUGGAUUUCAGAAAAGCCUUUGAUAGUGUUAAUUGGACUUGUCUCAUGACUCUGAUGCAGCAAAGAGGUUUUGGUGCUCGUUGGAUUUCUUGGGUCUCUUCCAUUCUUCGUUCUGGCAAAGCCAAGGUUAUGAUGAACGGCUGUCUCAGAGAUGAUAUCUUUUUCAACUGUGGGGUUCGGCAGGGCGACCCGCUAUCUCCGUAUCUCUUCAUUCUGGUUGCUGAUAUACUGCAACGUAUG
rnacentral:rRNA from 1 species